rnacentral:rRNA from 1 species
UGGGGAAUAUUGGACAAUGGGCGGAAGCCUGAUCCAGCAACGCCGCGUGAGGGAUGACGGCCUUCGGGUUGUAAACCUCUUUCAGUACCGACGAAGCGAAAGUGACCGGUAGGUACAGAAGAAGGACCGGCCAACUACGUGCCAGCAGCCGCGGUAAUACGUAGGGUCCGAGCGUUGUCCGGAAUUAUUGGGUCGUAAAGGGCUACGUNGGCGGUUUGUCGCGUUCGGGAGUGAAAACAGCGGGCUUAACUCGUUGCUUGCUUUCGAUACGGGCAGACUAGAGGUAUGCAGGGGAGGAAUGGAAUUCCUGGUGUAGCGGUGAAAUGCNCAGAUAUCAGGAGGAACACCGGUGGCGAAGGCGGUUCUCUGGGCAUUACCU